AGCGAACGCUGGCGGCAGGCCUAACACAUGCAAGUCGAACGAACCUUUCGGGGUUAGUGGCGGACGGGUGAGUAACACGUGGGAACGUGCCUUUAGGUUCGGAAUAACUCAGGGAAACUUGUGCUAAUACCGAAUGUGCCCUUCGGGGGAAAGUUUUAUCGCCUUUAGAGCGGCCCGCGUCUGAUUAGCUAGUUGGUUGAGGUAAUGGCUCACCAAGGCGACGAUCAGUAGCUGGUCUGAGAGGAUGAUCAGCCACAUUGGGACUGAGACACGGCCCAAACUCCUACGGGAGGCAGCAGUGGGGAAUCUUGCGCAAUGGGCGAAAGCCUGACGCAGCCAUGCCGCGUGAGUGAUGAAGGCCUUAGGGUUGUAAAGCUCUUUUACCCGGGAUGAUAAUGACGGUACCCGGAGAAGAAGCCCCGGCUAACUUCGUG
rnacentral:rRNA from 1 species